rnacentral:lncRNA from 1 species
AUGUUUUUAAAUGUCUUUUUAUUAAUGUUUGUACUUAAAGAGCUUCAAUUUAGAAUCAUUUUUAAGCAAAGCCUGACAAUGUAAAGUUCUUGUUUUAUAAAAGAUGCUAAUCUAUUAUAAGAUGUUACAGUUUAUGUUUUCAGAAAUUAAGUUUAGGGUGUUGGUGGUACACGCCUUUAAUCCCACCACUCGGAGGCAGAGGCGGGUGGAUCUUUGUGAGUUCAAGGCCAGCCUGGUCGGUGGAGCCUAUUCUAGGACAGGCUCCAAAGCCACAGAAAAACCCUGUCUCAGAAAGAAGUUAAGUUUAAACAAAGCAGAUAAAAUGUGUACAUGUAGCUACUGUUUAAGGACUAUAAGGAAACUCUAUGCACUUUUAAAUUCAGCUGUGCUAAGUUUCAAAUAUUUUACUAAGUUAAAACCAGUUACAGUCAGGCUGAAAAUUAAUUACAGAAAUAAGACCUUACCUAGCCACCUGUAUGUUUCUUGUGUGCUUAAGGCAAGUAACUAAAACAGACAGACAGACCUCUAAUGCUUCAGAGACCUGCAGAAUUUGACAUUUAAAUUGUUAUCUUUAAAGUUUAUAAUAUCAGACAGACUGCCAGAUCCUGACAGUGACUCAAAGUCUCCAAAGAAGAUUAUGAGGCACCCCAGUUCCUGCACCUGGACCAGUGAGCGAGAUGCUCAGAUGUGAUACCUGCCACCUGCCAGGACCUGGCCAAGACUGUGGACAAAGCCGCUGGACACUGGAAAAUUGAUUGCACCCCCUUUGCCUAGACAAAACAAGGUUUCUGCUUCUGGCACACAUCUGAGUAUCAGUUGCUGACUACAGGCUGUUCUAAGUAGACUGAGAGCCCUGGACUUGCUGUGGAUGUGAACCAGUCCAGCUGAUAUGGACACCCUCUGUCUCUGCAACAGAGUCUGCCAACAGCCCCUGAUGGAUUCCCCAUUGCCUAAAUUCCUUUUUUUGCUUUUGACUAGCAUUUCAACCUUCUGGGGUCCCUAACUUCGUCCCAAAGUCAGCAGGAAAUAGCACGGGAAAGAAUUCGCCACCCAUUUUUCCCUGGUUAAAAUGCUAAGUCAGAAGGGACUACCUUGUAUGGGGGCGCUAGAGAGACAACAAUUCCAUAAUUGGAAUUUCAAAAAAAAAAAUGGGGGAAUGAAGGGACCAGCCCCCCAUUUCGGCAGCCAUGACAGUAACACUUGCUCGCUAUGACCUUGCCUUGGUCACUAAGAGGUCAGAUGCCUGCCUCGUGGCAAGGAGCCAAUCAGAAGUUAACUGGUGGUGCUAUGCUUUAUGGCUCUGGGUGUACUUUAUGGACAAGUGCACAGCAAUGACUCGCAGGGCAUAGCAACCACCCUGGGAGGGCCUAUGGGCCAUAACAACCAGUUGGCCAAUCAACACAGGGCAAGCCCUCCAAGCCUGGAGGCACACCAAUCCUGAGUCUGUGCAUACCCCUAGACACUCCCCUUACGCUGCCCUACAAGAUCGCUCAGGAGCCAGUUCGAGGUGUCUUUGCUAGCCAUCCGCCAUGGCGGGUAAGUGAAAGACCCGAGCUAACAUGGGGUUAGCGCGAUAAAAAAACAAUAGAGCCUCAUGCAGUUUGCAUCAAAAAAAGAAAAAUAUCUAUUCUCAAUACAAGAACAAAAUAACUUAUUAAAAGACUGAAAAUUCACCAAGUUUAUCUUCAGAAUACUAUGUGAGGAGUUAGUUAGGAGGAUUGCAAUGCACUGCACAAAAUACUAGAAUAACUAAUUAUGUAAAUGAUGAAAAGGGGGGAAAAGAGAACUUGAAUGUAUAACUCUCACUUGUCAAAAGCAGUACCAGAGUCAAUUUCACAUCUCCAUUCCUGGGGUUCAGCAUGGGUGUCACCAUUGCAUGCAUAACUGAAACAAUUGUAUCCCUAAAUUAGGAGCUGUUUGAGGAAGGAAAGAAAUAAAUAAUUGCAAGAGUCCUGUGGUGUAAAAUUGCUAGGAAGAGGUGGGGAGCCACAAGUGGGUAGAACUUUGCAAGUCUUCUUAGUGGAGGUGCCCCUUAGUACAGUACCCCCAGGGCAGACAUAACAACCCAAAAUGGUACCCAGGGCAGGAGAGUCAACACUCCUCCCUCAGUGAAGAUCACUAACUCAUUGAAAUAGGUGUCUAAGCAGGACAACUUCAAGGGCUUAUUGAGAUCAUAGGACAGGUGAGGUAUGGAUGGGACAGGAUGGAAUAUGCAACAGGCAUGCACACAAGAAGUGAAUCAACCCAGCCACACACAGCUCCUCCCUCAUUAUAAUGGUGAAGUAUGGUGGGUGGAAGAUGGCCACAUACCUGCUGUCAUAAGGCCAUCACUCCAAGAAGCAAAUUGCCAACAUAUACAAAAAGUAAGAAAAAGUACAUUGGGGAAGCACCCCUCAUAAGGAACACUUAGG